AACUUUCAAAAAUGAAGUCAAGUCAAAUGAAAUAGAAUGAUAUCAUUCAUGAAACUGUUUCAUUUUGAUUCUGAGGUU
rnacentral:snoRNA from 1 species